rnacentral:rRNA from 1 species
GUCUUUUUGAUAAUAAUUUAAAGUCUAACCUGCCCACUGAAAAUUUUUGAAGGGCCGCGGUAUUUUGACUGUGCAAAGGUAGCAUAAUCAUUAGUCUUUUAAUUGAAGGCUUGUAUGAAUGGUUGGAUGAGGUAUUAACUGUCUCAAUUUAAUAAAUAAUAGAAUUUUAUUUUUAAGUUAAAAAGCUUAAAUAAUUUUAAAAGACGAGAAGACCCUAUAGAUCUUUAUAUAUUAAUUUUUAAUAAUUUUUUAGUUUAAAUUUAUUUUUAUUUGUUAAGGUAUUGAAUUGGGGUGAUUAAAAAAUUUAGUAAACUUUUUUUUAUUAGUUAACAAUGAUUUUUGAAUAGUUGAUCCAUUUUUUGUGAUUAUAAGAUUAAGUUACCUUAGGGAUAACAGCGUAAUUUUUUUGGAGAGUUCUUAUCGAUAAGAAAGAUUGCGACCUCGAUGUUGAAUUAAAGGUUAAUUUUAGGUGUAGAAGUUUAAAAUUUUGGUCUGUUCGACCAUUAAAUC